UACGGAGGGUGCAAGCGUUAAUCGGAAUUACUGGGCGUAAGGCGCACGCAGGUGGCUGAGCGAGUCGAUUGUGAAAGCCCUGGGCUUAACCUGGGAAUUGCAGUCGAUACUACUCAGCUAGAGUUUGGCAGAGGAGACUGGAAUUCCUGGUGUAGCAGUGAAAUGCGUAGAUAUCAGGAGGAAUACCGAUGGCGAAGGCAGGUCUCUGGGCUAUAACUGACGCUCAUGCACGAAAGCGUGGGGAGCAAACAGG
rnacentral:rRNA from 1 species